GAUGAAGAACGUAGCGAAAUGCGAUACGUAAUGUGAAUUGCAGAAUUCAGUGAAUCAUCGAGUCUUUGAACGCACAUUGCGCCCCCUGGUAUUCCGGGGGGCAUGCCUGUCCGAGCGUCAUUGCUGCUCUCAAGCACGGCUUGUGUGUUGGGCCUCCGUCCUCCUCCCGGGGGACGGGCCCGAAAGGCAGCGGCGGCACCGCGUCCGGUCCUCGAGCGUAUGGGGCUUCGUCACCCGCUCUUGUAGGCCCGGUCGGCGCUUGCCGACACAUCAAUCUUUUUUCCAGGUUGACCUCGGAUCAGGUAGGGAUACCCGCUGAACUUAAGCAUAUCAAUAAGCGGAGGA
rnacentral:misc_RNA from 1 species